rnacentral:rRNA from 1 species
AACGAACGCUGGCGGCGUGCCUAACACAUGCAAGUCGAACGGGGUGAGGGAGCUUGCUUCUUCAUCUAGUGGCGCACGGGUGAGUAAUGCGUGGAUAAUCUGCAUGAUACUCUGGGAUAAAAUCUAGAAAGGGGUGCUCAUACCGGAUAAGCCCACGGGCUCUUCGGAGCUAGCGGGAAAAGGAGGGGACCGUCGGGCGGUCCGAUAGCAGAGGAGUCGGCGUCCCAUUAGCUAGUUGGUAGGGUAAAGGCCUACCAAGGCGACGAUGGGUAGCUGGUCUGAGAGGAUGAUCAGCCACACUGGAACUGAGACACGGUCCAGACUCCUACGGGAGGCAGCAGUGGGGAAUUUUGCGCAAUGGGGGAAACCCUGACGUAGCAACGCCGCGUGAGUGAUGAAGGCCCUUGGGUCGUAAAGCUCUGUCAGAGGGUAAGAAAUGUGGGCGGCUAAUAUCUGUACCACUUGACGGUACCCACAAAGGAAGCACCGGCUAACUCCGUGCCAGCAGCCGCAGUAAAAC